UGGGGAAUCUUGCGCAAUGGGCGAAAGCCUGACGCAGCCAUGCCGCGUGUAUGAUGAAGGUCUUAGGAUUGUAAAAUACUUUCACCGGGGAAGAUAAUGACGGUACCCGGAGAAGAAGCCCCGGCUAACUUCGUGCCAGCAGCCGCGGUAAUACGAAGGGGGCUAGCGUUGCUCGGAAUUACUGGGCGUAAAGGGCGCGUAGGCGGACAGUUUAGUCAGAGGUGAAGGCCCAGGGCUCAACCUUGGAAUUGCCUUUGAUACUGGCUGUCUUGAGUUCGGGAGAGGUGAGUGGAAUGCCGAGUGUAGAGGUGAAAUUCGUAGAUAUUCGGCGGAACACCAGUGGCGAAGGCGACUCACUGGCCCGAUACUGACGCUGAGGCGCGAAAGCGUGGGGAGCAAACAGGAUUAGAUACCCUGGUAGUCCACGCUGUAAACGAUGAGUGCUAGUUGUCGGCAUGCAUGCAUGUCGGUGACGCAG
rnacentral:rRNA from 1 species